GGGAAGCCGGUCGAAAUCCGGCGCUGUCGCGCAACCGUGGGCCCUCGCAGGGCAAGCCGGGAUACC
rnacentral:ncRNA from 2 species